GAACCUGCGGAUAGGCAUAUCAAUAAGCGGAGGAAGAUUCCGUAGGUGAACCUGCGGAUGUACAAAUCAAUAAGCGGAUUAUUUUCCGUCGGCGUCUGAGAAACUUAAUAAUUACAACUUUCAACAACGGAUCUCUUGGUUCUGGCAUCGAUGAAGAACGCAGCGAAAUGCGAUAAGUAGUGUGAAUUGCAGAAUUCAGUGAAUCAUCGAAUCUUUGAACGCACAUUGCGCCCCUUGGUAUUCCAUGGGGCAUGCCUGUUCGAGCGUCAUUUGUACCUUCAAGCUUUGCUUGGUGUUGGGUGUUUGUCCUCUCCCUAGUGUUUGGACUCGCCUUAAAACAAUUGGCAGCCAGUGUUUUGGUAUUGAAGCGCAGCACAAGUCGCGAUUCUAACCCAAUAACACUUGCGUCCAGAAGUCUUUUUUCACUUUUGACCUCGGAUCAGGUAGGGAUACCCGCUGAACUUAAGCAU
rnacentral:rRNA from 1 species